rnacentral:lncRNA from 1 species
AGGACCCUAGGAGAGACACACGAUGAGAUAGCAAGACAGAGAGACGGACAAUCUUUCAGUCUAAAAAUGAGAGAGAAAGGAGGCAUUCCACUGAGCUCAAAAUAAUGGCAGUGCUCUUCAUCAACACUAUGUAAUACAUCUUUGAAAUACCAUUCAUCCAAGUAAACCAUCAGCAGUUUCAUCAGGUUCCAUAGCCAUCUCCAUAGGUCUUCGUCCCAGCUUCGCCCCAAUACCAAAAAUAAUCGAGUCUCACCAUCCUCUACCAUAACUCUGUUCAAUCACUUUGAAUUACUAGACUAUACCUCUUUUCAAUUGAGUCGACCAAAUCAGUGGGUUUUUGUUCAAGAGGUUGCGGUUCCGGAUUCUAGUCCCUUGCGGAAAAACACUCGAUUCGCUGUGUAAUCCGAGCUUGUGGUUCUGUCGAUUAAUUUGAUUGUUGCGGCUGUGUGAGGUCUAUUUUCUAACUCUACCUAAUAUUUGGUUUCGUUGCUCUUGUUGAUGCUUGAAUGGAAUGUUUGGUUGAUUCUCUGUUUGCAUUUUGCUUUUAAUAAACUUUGCAUUUGUAUUAUUUAGUGAAGGUUAGCUUAUCUUUUAGUUUAUUUAUUAUUUAUCUCAUUGAUGUAAGUGGUUAUUGAUAUAAUUAAUUAUACAUGUAAGUCCAUGGAAAUGAUAAUAAAUUGAAAGUUGCUUAUGGCCAUGCUUGGAAAAGUUAGAGCCUUUUCACUGUUUCAGGCAUGGCUUUGGGGUUGGUUCGAAUUAACAAUUGUUGUAGGACAGCAAGAAUUAAACAAAUAGGCAACUUUUAGGAUCUCACUCGGGGUCGGGAGGCAUUUAUUAUAACGUUUAAGCUUGCUUUCCUUCUAGGUGAGAGGUCGCCCCUUUAGUUGAUUAAUUCAUCCGGGAAUGCCCCGCAGAGUUUGUAUAUAUUAUUAUUACCCGGGGUAUGCCCCGAAGUGAAUGUAAACGGAGACCGAGGCUACACCGUGGAGGAAGUAUAGUGUAGGUUAGCUUGACAUUUUAAUUUUUAUUUUUUUUAUUUUUCUUUUAUUAGGCGGUGACAACCUCGAGCCUCUUCUGUAUUUAUUCUUGCUCUUUGUGCGUUUCUACCUCAAUUAGAAUAUUUUUAAAAUCUAACUUGAUCAUGUACGCAACCGUACUAGUUACGGGACUCGGGGAAUGCCUAACACCUUCUCUCCAAGUAAAAUGAACCCCCUUAUCUAGAAUCUCUGGUGCAAACUGGUUUAGAGUCAAAUAUGUUUUUAAGGAAAAAUUAUUUUUAAAUGUUGACUUGGCAUACCGAGAAUAUAUGCCAAGUGGCGACUCUGAGAAAAUUCCUUUUAAACAAAAAUUUUGUCACUUUCAUGAUUGAAAACACAUUUGAGCUUAAAAAUCUUCUUUAUAUUUUUAAAGAGGGGUUAAGGUAAAAAAAAAAGGGUGUGACAGCUCUGGCGACUCUGUUGGGGAGUUGCAGGUUCGAGCUGAUACUUGAUCUUGUUGGCUUUUAGGAUAUUCGAUUGAGGUGUUUGUUUUCUUUAUUUGCUUUGUGUGUUUAGUUUGUUUGUCAUAUUUCCUGUUUUGUUAGUUAUUUGUUUAUCGCUUUUCCUUAUGUGUUUACCGCUUUAUAACUGUCAUCAUUUGCAUAACCAUGGGUCUUCUUUCUGCAACAAGUCUCGUAGUACGCGUCGCGUACACGAACUCUUUGUUGAGUCACCCUUAUUUUAGGAGGGGGGCCGUCGGACGUAUGGAGUAGGUGGAAAGCUUGAGCAGCCACCAUCAACCAUACGCUCCCCCGAAUUACCUUGUCUAGUGAACCCCAAACUUAGGUCAGCCUUUAGGUCAUUUUAUUUGCAUCAUGUCAUUUAGACCUAGCAGGGUUAGGUCCCAGGCACCGUGUUCCUUGGUAGGAGGCCUAUCUAAAUUAUGUCAAAAAGGGCUAAUGGCCCAAAAAGACAUUUGAUCAUCCAUGUAUGCUACAUGUUGCAUUCUUUUAGGGUAAAUAGGUCAUUUGGCGGACCAAUGGGGAGAAAAGAGGGUGAAGUACAAAAUAAAGCAAGUAGAGCCCACUCACAUUUUUCUUUCACAGUUUUCCCAAAAAAUAAAAAUAAAAAAGAGAAAAAGAAAAUCCAAAAAGAUUUUACAUUUUCCAUUAUUUUUCAUAAAAGACAAAAAAAAAAGUUUUCUCCAAAUCAAUAUUUUUUUUAAAUUCUCUCCCAUAUCCAAUCUUCCCGAACUACGCAUACUUGAUUCUCGUCUUUCAGGGCAGGAUGCGUAGGCAGCCCACAUAGGGUCCGGUAUUCAAAGUGAGUCUUAAAUUCUUGGCUUCGGGGGUUGUAGCCAAAUCUUUCAUGUCUAGCCACUUUUGGUCACACUAGCCUUUUUGCAAAAUAGGGCUAUUUUGCAAAGUGAAUUGUUGAACCUUAGUUCGGAGAGUCUUGGAUACACAAUUAGUUGUCUCCUUACUUUAAGGCCCAUCCUUGUUGAAUUCGCAUGUCUAGCCACGUUUGGCCAUGUCGGUCAUUUUUGCAAAAUAGGGCUAUUUUCUCAAAGUGGCUUGUUAACCCAUGUCUCAGAUUCAUGAGUCCACAACAAGGCGUCCUCUUAGUUUAAGAUCCAUUCAUGUUGAGUUUGCAUGCUUAGCUAUUGUUGACCACGUAGGACAUUUAUGCAAAGCGGAUCAUUUUUGUAAAGUAAUUUUAGAGAUCAUGAUUCCUGGGAGAUCGGGGGUCGUAUAGGCCUUCAUGAGAUUUUUUCCAUGUCUUAGAGGUCGUCCUAGCUGAGUUUGCACUUCUAGACACCUUUUGGCCAUGCAGACCAUUUUGCAAAAAUAGCUCAAUCAUGUCUUGCAUGUGUCCAAUAUGAGGUUUUGUGGCGUUGCAUAGUGUCUUGAGUCACUAACUCUAUUUAGUCUUAUUAUUCUCAUUCAGGUGUGGAUUCAUUUACCAGAGCUUGAGCAUGACAGACGCCCCAGGACCAUCCCAGCCAGGACCGUUGCCUUCAGAAGCUGUUUGAGGGAAAUUUUUAUGUUUUGAGUCUGUUUUUGUGGUGUUUUUUUUACUUUCUAGUUAUGUCUAGUAACAUUGAGGCUUUUAGGUGGUAUCAGAGUCUGUCAUAGUUUAGCUGAGUUUGUCGAGCCUUAUUGUCAUCGUAUUUUCCAUUUUGUAUUUAAAAACCAAAAAAG